GAUCCUGCUCAGGAUGAACGCUAGCUACAGGCUUAACACAUGCAAGUCGAGGGGAAACGACAUCGAAAGCUUGCUUUUGAUGGGCGUCGACCGGCGCACGGGUGAGUAACGCGUAUCCAACCUGCCCACCACUUGGGGAUAACCUUGCGAAAGUAAGACUAAUACCCAAUGAUAUCUCUAGAAGACAUCUGAAAGAGAUUAAAGAUUUAUCGGUGAUGGAUGGGGAUGCGUCUGAUUAG
rnacentral:rRNA from 1 species